rnacentral:lncRNA from 1 species
AAUCCCCUUUUUGGAUUUUCUCAAGGUGGAUGAACGCUUGAAUGAACUCUUGAGAAGAAGAUGAUCUUUGAUUGAGGACUUCUUGAAGGCUUUGAAAGAUCUCUUGAUCAAGGUUGAACAAUAGGCUUGAAAAAUCCUCUCUUUGAAUGCUCUUGCUUUUCUCUUUCACAAUCUCUCUUGUAUAUUGUGGAUCCUCUCUCUUUUUCUUUUGGGUA